ensembl:snoRNA SNORA71 Small nucleolar RNA SNORA71
CCCUGUAUUCGAAAGUGAUCGUGGGCUGCCUGUGCCCUGGUCAUUGAUAGUGCAGGGAGAGGAUGCCGAAAGCCUUUCCCCGUGUUUGGAGGAUUCGUUCCUGUCCUUGCCAAACCCUGGUGCUUUCGAACA